GACGAAUGCUGGCGGCGUGCUUAACACAUGCAAGUCGAACGGUGAAGGAGAGCUUGCUCUCUGGAUCAGUGGCGAACGGGUGAGUAACACGUGGGUAACCUGCCCCUCACUUCGGAAUAACCAUCCGAAAGGAUGGCUAAUACCGGAUAUGGAAACCUGGAGGCAUCUCCGGGUUUGGAAAGUUUUUCGGUGAGGGAUGGACCCGCGGCCUAUCAGCUUGUUGGUGAGGUAAUGGCUCACCAAGGCGAAGACGGGUAGCCGGCCUGAGAGGGCGGCCGGCCACACUGGGACUGAGAUACGGCCCAGACUCCUACGGGAGGCAGCAGUGGGGAAUAUUGCACAAUGGGCGAAAGCCUGAUGCAGCGACGCCGCGUGAGGGAUGAAGGCCUUCGGGUUGUAAACCUCUUUCAGUAGGGACGAAGCGCAAGUGACGGUACCUACAGAAGAAGCACCGGCUAACUACGUGCCAGCCGCCGCCGUAA
rnacentral:rRNA from 1 species